rnacentral:rRNA from 1 species
AGCGGCGGACGGGUGCGUAACACGUAGGAAUCUACCCAGUAGCGGGGGAUAGCCCGGAGAAAUCCGGAUUAAUACCGCAUACGCCUUACGAGGGAAAGCAGGGGCCCCGUUCUUUUCUGAAUAGCGGACCUUGCACUAUUGGAUGAGCCUGCGUCGGAUUAACUAGUUGGUGGGGUAAAGGCCUACCAAGGCGACGAUCCGUAUCUGGUCUGACAGGAUGAUCAACCACACUGGGACUGACACACGGCCCACACUCCUACGGGAGGCAGCACUGGGGAAUAUUGCACGAUGGGCGAAAGCCUGAUGCGUCCAUGCCGCGUGUGUGAAGAAGGCUCUAUGGUUGUAAAACACUUUCAUCGAGGAUGAAAGGUUGUUGGUUAAUACCCACUAGCUGUGACGUUACUCGCAAAAUAAGCACCGGCUAACUCCGUGCCACCAACCGCGGUAAUACUGAUGGUGCAAGCGUUAAUCGGAAUUACUGGGCGUAAAGCGUGCGUAGGCAGCUACUUAAGUGGGAUGUGAAAGCCCCGGGCUCAACCUGGGAACUGCACCCCAAACUGAGUAACUAGAGUACAAGAGAGGAGUGUGGAAUUUCCUGUGUA